UAUAGCCUAUCCCGUUUGUGUAAAGCGAUAAUUCUUGAGCCAACACCUAUAAUAAGGGAGUCAACGCCGUCUUAGGAACGUCAUCUGGAAACAGAUAACAAACUUAUCCGGGACGACCCCCACUUAUUCAAAGGGCCUCAAAGAAUUCGUUUUUUACGGCGGGAUGGGUUAUUU
rnacentral:sRNA from 1 species